rnacentral:rRNA from 2 species
AAAUUGAAGAGUUUGAUCAUGGCUCAGAUUGAACGCUGGCGGCAGGCCUAACACAUGCAAGUCGAGCGGAAACGAGUUAUCUGAACCUUCGGGGAACGAUAACGGCGUCGAGCGGCGGACGGGUGAGUAAUGCCUAGGAAAUUGCCCUGAUGUGGGGGAUAACCAUUGGAAACGAUGGCUAAUACCGCAUGAUGCCUACGGGCCAAAGAGGGGGACCUUCGGGCCUCUCGCGUCAGGAUAUGCCUAGGUGGGAUUAGCUAGUUGGUGAGGUAAGGGCUCACCAAGGCGACGAUCCCUAGCUGGUCUGAGAGGAUGAUCAGCCACACUGGAACUGAGACACGGUCCAGACUCCUACGGGAGGCAGCAGUGGGGAAUAUUGCACAAUGGGCGCAAGCCUGAUGCAGCCAUGCCGCGUGUGUGAAGAAGGCCUUCGGGUUGUAAAGCACUUUCAGUCGUGAGGAAGGUAGUGUAGUUAAUAGCUGCAU